ACGAACGCUGGCGGCAUGCCUAACACAUGCAAGUCGAACGAGACCUUCGGGUCUAGUGGCGCCCGGGUGCGUAACGCGUGGGAACCUGCCCUUAGGUUCGGAAUAACUCCCCGAAAGGGGUGCUAAUACCGGAUAAUGUCUUCGGACCAAAGAUUUAUCGCCUUUGGAUGGGCCCGCGUUGGAUUAGCUAGUUGGUAGGGUAAAAGCCUACCAAGGCGACGAUCCAUAGCUGGUCUGAGAGGAUGAUCAGCCACACUGGGACUGAGACACGGCCCAGACUCCUACGGGAGGCAGCAGUGGGGAAUAUUGGACAAUGGGCGAAAGCCUGAUCCAGCAAUGCCGCGUGAGUGAUGAAGGCCUUAGGGUUGUAAAGCUCUUUUACCCGGGAUGAUAAUGACAGUACCGGGAGAAUAAGCUCCGGCUAACUCCGU
rnacentral:rRNA from 1 species